AUUGAACGCUGGCGGCAGGCUUAACACAUGCAAGUCGAGCGGAGAUGAGGUGCUUGCACCUUAUCUUAGCGGCGGACGGGUGAGUAAUGCUUAGGAAUCUGCCUAUUAGUGGGGGACAACAUUCCGAAAGGAAUGCUAAUACCGCAUACGUCCUACGGGAGAAAGCAGGGGAUCUUCGGACCUUGCGCUAAUAGAUGAGCCUAAGUCGGAUUAGCUAGUUGGUGGGGUAAAGGCCUACCAAGGCGACGAUCUGUAGCGGAUCUGAGAGGAUGAUCCGCCACACUGGGACUGAGACACGGCCCAGACUCCUACGGGAGGCAGCAGUGGGGAAUAUUGGACGAUGGGGGGAACCCUGAUCCAGCCAUGCCGCGUGUGUGAAGAAGGCCUUAUGGUUGUAAAGCACUUUAAGCGAGGAGGAGGCUACUGAGACUAAUACUCUUGGAUAGUGGACGUUACUCGCAGAAUAAGCACCGGCUAACUCUGUGCCAGCCGCCGCGGUAAAAC
rnacentral:rRNA from 1 species